GCAGGGCGGCAGCUACACAUGCAGUCGAGCGGUAACAGAUCCAGCUUGCUGGAUGCUGACGAGCGGCGGACGGGUGAGUAAUGCAUAGGAAUCUGCCCGAUAGUGGGGGAUAACCUGGGGAAACCCAGGCUAAUACCGCAUACGUCCUACGGGAGAAAGGGGGCUCCGGCUCCCGCUAUGGGAUGAGCCUAUGUCGGAUUAGCUAGUUGGUGAGGUAACGGCUCACCAAGGCCACGAUCCGUAGCUGGUCUGAGAGGAUGAUCAGCCACAUCGGGACUGAGACACGGCCCGAACUCCUACGGGAGGCAGCAGUGGGGAAUAUUGGACAAUGGGGGCAACCCUGAUCCAGCCAUGCCGCGUGUGUGAAGAAGGCCCUCGGGUUGUAAAGCACUUUCAGCGAGGAAGAACGCCUAGCGGUUAAUACCCGCUAGGAAAGACAUCACUCGCAGAAGAAGCACCGGCUAACUCCGUGCCAGCAGCCGCGGUAAUACGGAGGGUGCAAGCGUUAAUCGGAAUUACUGGGCGUAAAGCGCGCGUAGGUGGCUUGAUAAGCCGGUUGUGAAAGCCCCGGGCUCAACCUGGGAACGGCAUCCGGAACUGUCAAGCUAGAGUGCAGGAGAGGAAGGUAGAAUUCCCGGUGUAGCGGUGAAAUGCGUAGAGAUCGGGAGGAAUACCAGUGGCGAAGGCGGCCUUCUGGACUGACACUGACACUGAGGUGCGAAAGCGUGGGUAGCAAACAGGAUUAGAUAUCCU
rnacentral:rRNA from 1 species